UCGAGACAGCCAAACAUGAAUCAAAUUUUAGAUAUAAAGUUAUGAAACUGAUGAACCAUUUAGAAAUGGUGUUACGUUGCAUUUUUGGAUAGUCAUUAUUUACAUUGUUCAGGGUGGCCUAGUCGUCAUUCUGGCGGGAUCUUAAGCUAGGAAUGUUAUUCAGGAGAAGAAAAGUUGAGUUUCAGAAAAAUUAACGCUCCUAGCAUUCAUUGCUUCAAACCAUAUCGCCACAUCUUUGACUGCCAAAAAUGUGUACGAUGAUUACAAGAGGAAAUAUACAACAAUUGUUACAGUAGAAAGUCGUCUGAAAAAUUAUGCAUUGCCUGCGGCCAUUAGGAUAAAAAACGCAACUGCCAUGGAAAUAAGUAGCCAUAUGGUACAUUUGGACAGUCAGCACUAUCGAUUCCCACCUGUGUUGAAACAGAGUAGCUGUUCCUUUUGUCAGGUGGAGAACUGUAUGAAAACAGACUGCAUCAAUUUAGUAACUGUGAUACAAUGUAUAAAUGACACUGUAUCGUCAAUGCCUGAAUUGUCAUGUGACAUAAAUGGAUUAAUAAAGGAGCUGGAUCUCAUACAUGAUUGGAUGAACUGUACACGUCAUACUCAAGGAUGUGGAUUACCUCACCAGUCAAAAGAUGAUAACUAUAUCAAUGCAAAAGAUACUGUUAAAUUUCUGGAAGUGCUACUAAACAAAUAUCAGGGAUUACUAUAUGUAUAAACAUGUGUAUGAUAAUUAAAGAAAUAUGGUGUGCUAUUGUGGGAAAUAAAAGUAACGAUUAACCUUAAAGAUUCGGUUUACAUGUUGCAAAUAAAUCAUGAAUAUACAAAAUCUCAGCAAUUUCUAAGUUAGAUUAUAUAUUAAGUUGAAAGCUAUUCUAUUAAACUAUUUUGAUAAGAAAACAAUUAACAUGCUAGAAAAACAUGCAUUUUCUUUACCCUCUGAUUAAGUUAAUGAUAAAAAAAUCUUAUACAUUUGUUUUGUAAUACGGAAAUCAAUGUGUGGCUUAGCAGCCGAAUCGACAGAUAUACAAUGAUUUUAGUACUAAGUCUUCCGGACAGGACUGUACAUGUGGAGGCAAGUAAUAAUUGAUCAUUUAAAUGUAAGCAUUUUCAAUUUGAAAAUUAAACUCCAUCCAAAAUAUUUUUGUAAUUCUUAAUAUUAUUUAUUUUUUCUAUAUUUUAUGUGUGAUUUUGAAUUACAAUUUGUUUUACAGUAAAAUUUGUCUUAAAACGCCUAUGGUUGUCUUUUUUUCAGAUUUAUAUCUCUUAACUGUUAUUAUUUAUGUUUAUUGUUUAAAUUACGUCAUUUGUGACCAGUUAUCUAUCUUAUAAUAAAUUUUUGUAGGCUCA